ensembl:lncRNA
UGUGUGUGUGUGUGUGUGCUUGCAUGUCUGCAUGCAUGUCUGCAUGCCUGUGUGUGUGCGUGUGUAUAUGUGUGCUUGCGUCCAUGCAUGUAUGCAUGCCGGUGUGUCUGUGUGUGGGGGUGUGUGUGCGUAUGUUGGGGUGUGUCUAUGUGUGUGCUUGCGUGUGUGUAUGUCUGUGUGCCUGUGUGCGAGCCUGUGUGUUUGAGAACAUGUGUGCGUGUGUGUACAUGCAUGUGUGAGUGUGUAUCUGUGCGUGUGGGUACAUGCAUGUGUGCAUGUGUGUCUGUGCGUGUGUGUCACAGCAGCAGGAUCAUUUAUCGUCUACUCCUACCUCAGCCCCACCACUCUUGUUUUGGACACAACACAAUUUCGCAAAAACACACGUUCUGUUCGGGUGGUCUGUAUGUGGGAGGUCUAUUUUAGGAGUGUUGCUACAUUCCUCUCAGUUGGUUGGACAGCUAUGUUUGCUACCUAGCAACUUGCAGAUACAGCUCAGCCUUCUGCUAAGUUUUCUGCUGUAGAGACCAGGAAUCAAUCUUAGUGGUCUCUCCGAGAACCAACUUGAGACAAGGACUAAUGUGUCCCUUUAAGAUCGUAAAAUAAUUCUAGACAUCAUUUAGUGAGUCCCUUAAAGACCUCAAAAGUUUCUUAUCAACAUUUAAUGCAUCUCUGUAGACAUCAAACCCUCCUUAAAAUCAUUUAAUCUGUCCCUAAAUCUCAGACCCUCCUCAACUCCUUAUCAUUGAAUGUCUCCCUUUGGCCUAAAGUGUCCCCUUAUGGCUAAAUGAGUCUAGUUAAAAACAUGAUCCUUAGUGGGGUAGUGACCCUUAAACCGGCUUGAUGCAUCACACUAAAGCAUCCCCCUGGUCCUAUUGUGUUUCCUUAACCACUGUUGGGUCCCUGAUCGACCGAAGGUGUCACUCAGAGGUCACCGCGUAGAAGUGUUUUUCGGCUACUUUUGGUGGGUAUCAGGCGUGCAAUCAUUGACGCACACAGAGAUGAUCUUCUCCAUGAG